rnacentral:rRNA from 1 species
CACGUAGGGCGCAAGCGUUGUCCGGAAUUAUUGGGCGUAAAGAGCUCGUAGGCGGCUUGUCGCGUCGGCUGUGAAAACCCGGGGCUCAACCCCGGGCCUGCAGUCGAUACGGGCAGGCUAGAGUCCGGUAGGGGAGACUGGAAUUCCUGGUGUAGCGGUGAAAUGCGCAGAUAUCAGGAGGAACACCGGUGGCGAAGGCGGGUCUCUGGGCCGGAACUGACGCUAAGGAGCGAAAGCGUGGGGAGCGAACAGG